rnacentral:rRNA from 1 species
GGACCUGACUGCUAUCGGAUUGAUACUAAGCCAUGCGAGUCGUUGUAGCAAUACAAGGCAUACGGCUCAGUAACGCGUAGUCAACCUAACCUAUGGACGGGAAUAACCUCGGGAAACUGAGAAUAAUGCCCGAUAGAACAUUAUGCCUGGAAUGGUUUAUGUUCCAAAUGAUUUAUCGCCAUAGGAUGGGACUGCGGCCUAUCAGUUUGUUGGUGAGGUAAUGGCCCACCAAGACUAUUACAGGUACGGGCUCUGAGAGGAGUAGCCCGGAGAUGGGUACUGAGACACGGACCCAGGCCCUAUGGGGCGCAGCAGGCGAGAAAACUUUGCAAUGUGCGAAAGCACGACAAGGUUAAUCCGAGUGAUUUCUGCUAAAGAGAUCUUUUGUUAGUCCUAGAAACACUAACGAAUAAGGGGUGGGCAAGUUCUGGUGUCAGCCGCCGCGGUAAAACCAGCACCUCAAGUGGUCAGGAUGAUUAUUGGGCCUAAAGCAUCCGUAGCCGGCUCUGUAAGUUUUCGGUUAAAUCUGUACGCUCAACGUACAGGCUGCCGGGAAUACUGCAGAACUAGGGAGUGGGAGAGGUAGACGGUACUCGGUAGGAAGUGGUAAAAUGCUUUGAUCUAUCGAUGACCACCUGUGGCGAAGGCGGUCUACCAGAACAUGUCCGACAGUGAGGGAUGAAAGCUGGGGGAGCAAACCGGAUUAGAUACCCGGGUAGUCCCAGCUGUAAACUAUGCAAACUCAGUGAUGCAUUGGCUUGUGGCCAAUGCAGUGCUGCAGGGAAGCCGUUAAGUUUGCCGCCUGGGAAGUACGUACGCAAGUAUGAAACUUA